UACGGAGGGGGCAAGCGUUGUCCGGACUUACUGGGCGUAAAGGGUGCGUAGGCGGCCUGCUGCGUCGGUGCUGAAAGCGCCCGGCUUAACCGGGCGAGGCGUGCCGAUACGAGCGGGCUGGAGCCUUGGCGAGGGUGGCGGAACUCCUGGUGUAGUGGUGAAAUGCGUAGAGAAUCAGGAAGAACAUCGGUGGCGAAGGCGGCCUGCUGGGCGUGUUGCUGACGCUGAGGCGCGACAGCGUGGGGAGCAAACAGG
rnacentral:rRNA from 1 species